GGCUUCCAGGCAUUUUACAUUCUCAAAAACGUUUUAAUUCUUGGGGUUUUUUAAGAAAUCCUGGAGCUCAUGAACGUUUGUGAGCUACCAGUCUGAUAGUGCUAAGGGCCUUUUAUGAUACAGUUGCAUCUGUCAAAAUACAAUCUGCUGCACAAAUAGCACUGUAUCCCACAGAGAAAAAAAAAUACCAUCCUUACGAGAAAAGUGCAGCCAGCUUGAAGAAAUGCAGUUUUUGGCUUUGUUGUAUCACAGGAACAAAAUCCCCAAAGAUGAGCACAGUGACUGAAGUUCUCGUAUUAUUCCCCUUGGUUUUCAUGGAGUGCUAUCUCAUGUAGAUCAAUGAAAGUUUAAAUUUGGGGUAAAGAGUCUUCAGAUAUUUGAGAGAAUCUGACAGUGAAUGUCUUGCUUAUUUUGGAUGUAACUUGAAACAUAAAUAAAACAUGUGUCUGUUAUUAUAGUGAUAUCACUAAGCAAAAACUCCACUAAGCAGUUCAUAAUUUAUUAAUAAACAUGAUGCUAUCUGCUAAGAACCUUGUAUGAACUACAGUUGAUUGCUAAUUCUCGUACUAAUUUUGUGUACACAUUUAUCUUUUUUUUUCCUUUUCAUUUAAGUAAUUUUGCUGGUGGUGAAUGCUCACAGGGCUAGGCAAACGCCUUUUCUUGUGAUUACAUUAUUCUCAGUAUUAAAAAUAAUUAAUUACUAACUUCUAAUGUACUGAAGGAAUAUAUGUAUUUUUCUUUUUUCUGAUUUUUGGGGUUUGUAUUUCUAAUUUUUAUCAGUCUAUGCCUAAGAAACAUAACUUGACAAGAUUUCUGAGGUUCAUUGUGCAACUUCAUUCACAUUACUGAAAGACUUGGUUCUGAAAAGGUAAUAACCCUGAGAGCUGCUGUGAUGCUCAGGGCCAAAGCUGUAAGAAUUAGAACUUGAGAACAAAGAUUGGUGAAAUCAUCAGAAAAUGAAAGCCAUCAUCACUAAGCUGAUUUAACCAGGUAUGUUUCUUGAGGAUGCAUAACCUGAGGAACUGGGAAUUGUAUCCUGGAGCAUGGCUGUGCACUUUAGGGUAUGUUCUAGCUUCAAGUCAGACUGAAGCUUGUGUUUGUGUUAUUUGUGACCUCUGGUUUCUAUUAAAUAACAGGAGAAUCAGGACUGUGGCACGGGCUAUGGAAGCCUGAUUCAGUAAAGUUUUACCCAAUGGGACUCCUCACACUAAUGAAAUACCUCCAUGAAUUUUGUCCCAUUCCAGUCAUUGAAUGGAUUCCAGUUGGCUGCAAAGUCCACUGGAAAAUGAAAGCCCACUUCACUUCAGAUGCUUAGUGUUAAAUCAACUGUUAUAUGUGGUCAAUGGAGAAAGAAUGCACUUUUGGAUAUUUGAAGUGCAGCAAGGUGUCACUGGUUAAAUGCAUCAUUAAUCCACAUUGUAGUAAUGGGGUUGUUGUAACCAUGGUAGUCUAAGGAUGUACAGGAACUAUAACCUCAAGGACUUCUGGUUUUUAAGACCAGCUAACAGAAUUGGCAAAAUUGAAGAGUUCUUAGGCUAGAGAUCUCAUCGAUCUGAUUCUUGUAUUUAGUUUAGUAAAAGUCACUGUAGAACUCACUUUCCCUGUAUUUCAGUUAUCAUAACAUUUAAAAAAACUACUGAUAUUACUUAGAUUAAUAAAAAUUUUCAUAGAAGUCUGUGUUUUACACUCUGCCAAAUAGGCAUUUUUAGAAGGCAAAAAGUGAAAGCAGACAUUCUGGCCUAAAUAUAUUCCAGGUUAUAUCUGAGAGAGGGUGAUCAUCAGAGAGAGAACCAAGUGUUUUGAAACAAUGAGGUGAUGGGAGAAAAUUUAUUCAGCUGCUUAUAUAUUUUGUUGGAUAUGAAUUCUCCCAGCUGUGUACAUUCCCCAUUCUAAGUCUUGUCAGAUAUGAUUGUGUACAUAAUGAAUGCAUUUCUGUGGUCGCACCUACAUAAAAAAUAAAGGAGUGCUGUAACCAAGCUGUUUCUCUGUUGAUAGAGUAUCAGAUUCAGAGUAUUUCAGGUUAAAUCUAACUAUGGUAAUCCAGUUUUGCAGUUUGUUUUUUACUCACCCUGAUGAAUAAUUAUUAUUGAAAUAAUGGAAAGUACAUAUUUAAACAUAAUGAAGGAGCCUUUUGUUGAGUAAGGAUUUCUUUUACUUUACACUGUAAGAAUGGAAUUACACUUAAUGGUAAUGGUAAAUCACAGUCAAGAUGCUCAAAUCAAAAGUAAUUAGAAAAACUUUAGUCUGAGAAUGAGAAAUGGCCUUUUUGUUUGGACAGUAGGUGAGAUGCAUGACAAAGUUAAUGGACAUAUAAUCUUCACUUUCAGGCCUGUAAAAUAAAAAGGAUUGAUUUUGCAAGGCAAGUUUCAUAUCUGAAAUACCUCAAGAGAAAUAUAGCUGAGAUGGUAGUGGCAAGUGGAGCUGCUGUAUAAACAAAUGCAGGAACUCUUCUAAGCUCAGCAAUAAUUCAUGUGUGGCUCCAGAGAGUGGAAUCUGUUUUAGGUGUUGAUCUAUGAUAACAGGAUUUGUGCCUCAGUAAGGAAUGUGUGGACACCAGUGACUACCCAGGCCUUGGGCGUGUUAGAAGGAGACUGUCUCUUUCUCUGUGGAGAUGAGAAAUGCUUCUCAGAGCUCCUCAAUCUCCCGCUUUCUUUCUCUAUCUCAGGAAAAACGUUUCAAAAGCAACAACAAAUUAUAAAAUUCACACCAAGCUUACUGAGCCAUUCAGUCAAAUGCAGGGAGGGCUGAUGAAUUGCUUUUGUGUCACUGCAUAAACAUGUGCUGUGUAGUCAUUAACAACAUGGGUCUGGAGUCUACCACAGCUACAAUGGUGUUUAUCAUCUUUAUGUCAUGUAAAAGAUUUCCACAGCUUCAGUGAUUUUUUUGGCUAGACCUGAAGUUAGCUGCAUUGUGUCAACCUAGGGUAGGCUCUGCUUUAGCAGGAUUAAAAAUGUGUUCCUAAGCUGCAACUUCAGAAGCUGCUCAUAUUUCAGGAUGCUGAACUUAAAUUUCUGUACAUUUCAUGGGAACAUUUGGAAGAAAAAGUGCAAAGCGCUGCCUGGACUUCUCUGCCUGCAGAGCUUCUUUCAGGCCAUUAUGGAACAGACCUUUACUGGUACUUCCACAGCACAUCCACCUCAACAUCUAACAUGUGCAGUAGAAUGUUCAACAGUACAGAGAUCUAGUGAGAUUGAUUUUUUGUAUGCUGUAUAUCACUCUUAAAGUGCAAAUUAUUCUGGCACUUGUCUUGUUUGUAAGAAGGCUGUUAUGCCAGAAAACCAGAAUAACUCUGCUGUAGAGAAAACCAGUGCUGACAUUGAAAUCUUGAGGAUCUGUGCAUUGCUUUAGUACUGACUAUCUCUGGAAUCACGUUUGCCAAGAUGUUUAUUUUCUAUUUGGAGUUUUCCAGCACCUAUAGCAGGUGCUGGAAAAAAAGUAAAACUAAAAAAUCUCUAGAACUGCUUUACAGUAGCCCUCCAAGAUUUGAGUCAUUGUCAUGCAUGUUUGUGCCACACAAAUUCAUCGUAAGCAUUUCACACCUUCUUGGUUAUUCAGGUACAAUGAAGCUUUGAGGUAUUUUCUUUUGAUCUCCUACACAUGAAAUAAAUCUCUGAAGUCCUGAGGUAAUUUUUAGUUAAGUUCAAGAACUUCUUGAAGUUGAGUGUCUGUGGGGGUAUGAAUGUACAUGUUAUUUGUGUAUAUAUUUGCAUAAUACCAUAAAACACACAGUACUGGUAAAAAACCCGAAGAGCUAAACAGCAUUUUAAGCAGGACUCAUGUCUCCAUCCUCCUCUGUCCCAGCUUGAUGUGUUUUGCAAAAAUAAGAGUUGAACUUGUUGCUCUGCUAGGCUUAGCACUCCUGCAAGAUCUUAGGGGCAGCAUUUGGUCCCACAUGGAGCGAAAGCCUCCUUAGCAGCAUCGUGGUUACCACCCGACUCCUACUGAGUUCAGAACUCAGCAGCAUCAGAAAUCCCAGUCCCAUGCAAACCUUAGUCCAGGAGUUGCUCUCCAACCCAGGAGCCACAGCUCUGCACAGGGGUCACUGAGUAACAUAUUCCUUCAACAUGCUUUAGGAACUUAACUACUUCUCUCCCUUCACAUAAGCACUUUUGAAUGAUUGUAGGAGCACAGUAUUUUUCUGUUCAGUUCCAUGCUGAGCUUGGCUGUGUCCGGAGUUACUAUGACACAGAUAAAUAACUGUUUAUCCAGCUUUUGGCUGAAAUUUGUUUUCAGCCACAGUUUCAGAAUAACAGGUCAGGCUCUCCAGUGGCUCAAGAAAGCGUGAUGAUUCAAAGCAGGUUUCAGAGGCUAUGAGUAUGUGAUUUGAAUAAUCAAAGAUCUGAAUCAGGCCUUAAACAAACAGAGAGAAUGACAUUGUUUCUGUCUUGAACUGGUAAAGCAGCACCCACUUUGGAAUAUGUUAUAUUAAAUUAACUCUUUCAAUUUCCCAGUAGGGCUGCACAGAAAAAACUCAUCACUGGAGUCAUAACAUUGCAGGAUUUGAAUCAUGGCUCUCAUAUGGCAGACAUAUGAAUUAGAACAGUUUUCUGAACUACAUGGAAGUAACCCAAAAUAUAUGUGAAAUGGGCUCUUUACCAUACCUCUAGAUGUUCUAAAACAGAGCAGUGAUAUUUUGACAUGUUUCAGGAUAUUCUCAUGUAUAGAUAUUUUGAUAGGUGUAGAGUUAUGUUGAUGUUUCAUGAAGUGAUGUUACUACAGUGAAGAAAUCCGCAUUUAAAAAUUCUAGUGAAGCUAGAGGACAUGAUAAGGCAGACUGCCCCGUGAUGUGCGAGCCUCUGAGGCAGGAGUCAGAUUUCUAGCUUAUUACCUUCCUUAAUGUUGCCAAAUUUUGUCACUCAUGUUCAUGUAUGGAGAUUUUAACUAGAAUGACUUUGGAAAUCCAUAAAAAACCUGGAGUGCAGAACUUGACGAGUCAUUUUCAUUUGCUGAAGAUUAAGGUGUAAACUUUUUGUCUGAUUUUCUCUGGCUACUGGGUAAAAUGCUAAGUGUUGUCUUUUGGCUUGUCAAGACCAAAUUAGUCUGGGAUCCACUCCAACUGUCUCUGUUACAAUGACAUCUUGGCAAUCACCAAACACUCCCAAUCUGGAGCAGGUAUUGCCCAGAGGUACCCAGGAUCAGAAGGGAUGUUGUACCCAGAUCAUUUAGAUAAGGUAGGUCUUACACUGACCACAGUGUAGGAACAGCAGCUGUGUAUGUAAAAAUACUCAAGUUUUAGCCCAAGUCACAGGUAAGUUUUUCAACUUCCACUGAAACCCACCCUUCUUUUACCCAAACUAAUUAGGCUGAAGCCAAGCACAGGCACAUGUGAGGGAAUGCACUCUGCAUCACAGGGUAAGUGUUCUUAGACAAGGGGGCACCAAGGAAGGCUUUUUCCCUGAGCCUGCUUUCAGCAUUUUUUCCUUAUAAAACUCAUGGCUCAGAGAUCAACAAGUUUAUUUUUUCCUAUUAUGUGACAUCUGGGAUUGGAGUUCUGCAGACAGAACAAGUUCUUGCUGUUGGCUUUUGCUGAUCACUGUGGCUGUUGAUGAGCAGCUGAACAGAGAUUUCCAGGAGGGACAGUGUUCUGGAGCCACAUGCAUUGCUAUGGGCAAGGCACACAUCAGGUCACAUAGGGGUUCUUUGCUUUAAGGCAUGUAACUUUAAGGCUGUAUAUAAAAAUAAGAACAAUAAGAUUAUAUGAAAAACCUUAACAGUACAGUCCUAGGAAUAUUCUUGGUGAAGGCAGAAUGAGAAAUACUUACCUUAUCCCACUCACACAAAUUACAGAUUCUAAAGCUAUGUAACCCUUAAAAAUUAAUAGAUUAUAUUUUUCAUAUAAUUCUACUAGUAAUAUGUUAUUUAUAUGGAAUUUUACUGAUAGUAAAUAUCUCACUAUCACAGUUUGUUGUACAGGCAGCAUAGAAGUAACACUUUAAGGACUUUGAGGAAUAAAGCUAAACAGAACAUUAAAUUUCUCCAAAGAGAAUGAUGGAGAUCUAUGGCUCAUUUAUUUAAGAUCUUGUAUGCUUCUGCAAAAUGCAUUUUAGAUAAUAUUUAGAGAUAAUGUUAAUGCUAUUUAUUAACUAUUCAUUAUAGUACAUAGCCCACUAGAGGGCUGCUUUUCAAAUAAAUUGCAUCCAGAGUGUUAAUAAAAGUGUUAAGUGUUUAAAAACAAAAAAUAUGCAACAUGAAUACGUAUAUAAUUUUACCACAUUAUUUUGUCAAAUAUCUUCUGUUGCUGCCUGUUAUAUACAGAACAUACUAAAACAAUAUAAAUUGUGGCCCCAACUCUACAAACAUUUAGAAUAUGUUUGGCUUUAAGUAUUUUGUUAGACUUUCCUUAUAAGCUACUGAUAAGUUUAGCGUUAAAGAGAUGCCUGAAUGCUCCUGAGACUGUCUUCUGUCACAUAUCACACCAUCUCUGGUUGUGGAGGGGCAAAGUUCCAAUGUUUAUCCCCUGUAUUUGAUUUGAAUAUUGCAUAGCAGAGGUAUUUUGACAUCUGAAUGACAGGUCACAGCUUCAGUUUGGAAAUCAUGUGUCAGUAGUAAUUUCUUUUCUUGUGCUCUGAUUGUGACAACGCCCUCCACCUUCUUUACAAAUUUUUAAAGAACACGACAAGGAAAUGAGGAGAUUACAAUGUUAAGAAAAAUACAGGAAACCUGAUUUUCAGACACAAUUAUCAGUCUAUAUUGAUUUAUGUUUUCCUCCUGAAACAGUAUAUAAAGCACAAGCAUUCAAGUGUCACAUUGGUUCAUGAAUUCCUUUACAGUAGCACUGUGUGAUUUAAAGGAGCAGAAGUGCCAAGUGAUGUGGCAGUUGCCAUGGCAACUACAGCAAUUCAAUUUUUAUUCAGUAUCAUGUAAAAUGAAACAAGAUACAGUUUGCCUUGUGGCUUCAGGAACUUAUGCAUUCUACCAGUGUUGUUGCUUUUUGUCUUUUUUAACAUUGUGCCAUUUAAAUAGUAGCAUGUGUUUGUUUUAAGGAUUUAUCUUGGGUUUAGGCCAUGUCAUGCCAUUGUUUUUAAAGCAGAGUUUCCCUUACAAACUAUUAUAAAUCUGCAGAGAAAAGAGCUUUAGAUGCUAGCACUGGCUACAUAAAGCCAACUGCAGGGUAAUUCUGCUCAAGAAUCAAUGUUAAUAUCCACCCUAACUAUGAUUUGGCAGCCUGCACUUGACAUAUUCAUAAAGAAGAUAUGCAGAAUCCUUAAAUAGGAGAACAUGAUUGUUUGUACUAGAUAUCUCACUGAUUCAUGAAAUUCAGCAACCUCCUUCUACUAGCAGCCAUGAGUUCUUUAUGACUCAAAGGAAAACAAAAUCUUCAGUGGUGUAAUGGGUUGGCUGGGGAAGCUGUAGAUUAAGAUUAAAUUCUCUUAAACUGUCUGAAGUCUGAGGGAUAGAGAUGGUCAGAAACUGUAAGAAGGGAGAUUCUUUCACCUCUGCUGGUAGGAGCUUGGUCCCGGCAGGAACAGGUGGAUUUCAAACAAUCUCAAACACAGAUUUAACUAUUUAAGGAGAGGAAGAGGUGGCAGAUCCCAGUCCCUCAGCCCUCUUUCUAGAAGACCCCAGGCAGCAAACAUUCCCAUUCAGAUCAACCUGGAAAGCCACCUUCAAGGACCUCUGCUCUUAGUCCAUAAGCAUAGAGGAGCAAGUGUCUAAUUCUAGGAUUCAAACUGUGAGACAUCCAGCCUUCCUAUAUGAAUCUUUUACAUCAGGGGCCUUAUAGCUGCAUCAGUGCUGGUAAAAUAAACAAGAACAGGGCAUAGAGCCUGUCAUGGUCCCACGUUUGUCUGUACUGCUAAAUUGUUGUCAUAGUCACAGUAUGUCCUGUGCCAACCAGUACUCUUCUGGGCUGUUUGCUUCUAAGUCUAAGCAAGAUCCAGGCCAGGGACCAUUCAUAACAGGAAGUUUCAGUGUGGUCACCUUUGGAGCACAGGCAUAAAGGUAUGUUAGAAUUAAACAAGAAUAGGAUUAAAACUUUAGCUGCACGUAGUGACUUUUUUUCCCCUAUCUAGUUAGAAUAAUUGUUGUGCCACUUAUUAUAGGUUUUUUACUACUAGGCUGUAAAACUUCAGAUCUCUUCUGCUUUGUGUGAAGGCUGAUGGCUUGGUAGCAUGUUCUCAUUCAUUCUGCUCAGAAUUGUUUUGCACUUUUACCUCAUUAAGUUUCCACCCUCAAAGGCAACGUGUUGCUGCAUGUCCAUCCCUUCAGCAUCCUUCAGAAUGCAAGGCUUUAUGUGUUACACAUAUAAAAGCAUAUUUCUGUCAGAAUACUCUUAAUAAGAGUCUAAAUUUAAGCAUGAGGACUCCUAUUAAAUUAGUUUUGUUGAAGCUCCGUUUGGGGUUCUUUUUGCAUUAAUCAGCAAGAUUUAUCCUGAUGAGAUAGUUUUAAGAUUUAGUUAGGCAGAUGUUUGAGUUGCUUUGACUAAGCAUAGUUUUAGCUCUGCUCACACUUUGACUGGUUUAAGGGUUUUUGUAAUUAGAAUGCAAACAUACUUCACUGAAUUGUUAACUCAAGAUUUUUGUAGAAACACCAGUGGCUCACAAACCACAGAAUGUCCCCAACGGGUCUCUGUUUCCACUUUGGUACAUGUAGGUAUCCCUGAUACAUAUUGCUGGGCACUAGGCACAAGCGUUGAAGACAUAGCUGAUAGAUAAGGAGAGAACUGGCAGAAACACUGCAGCUCCAGCAAAAUACCCAUUUCAGUGAAGAAUUAUAUGUGUCUGUGUACUGUACACCAAGACUUGGGUAGGGCAUGAGCACAGCACGAAAACAGCUCCUGGGUCAGUGUGACUGCUUUUAGUGCUAUGGAGAGAUCUGUCAUAGAGUGAUUUUUCCAUGUGAUCUGAGCAUAUCAAGUGGUUCAGUAUUAGAACCUGUGACAAGGAAAAGGGACAUGAUUCAGUGCCACAGAGAAGUGACCUAGUCCAUUAAUGCUCGAGGACCACUGUGGUUGACAACAGUUCACUGUGCACUUUGCUCUUGCAAAGGGGCAUCAUUUUGGAAACUAUUUAUCUCUCUGGUUCUUUACCUUUAGCAGGUACAGUAAUGACUUCAUUUAGCAAACGUCAGUGCUGGGUUUAUGAUGCAGAUUUCACUGGAUUGUUAAACUGUUAAUUUACAGAUCUUUACUAAGUGAAUGCAAACAAAUUCUGGUCCUCAAAGCUCUGCUAAUGCACAAUGCUUGAAUUUUAAUUUCCAGUCCAUCUUAGAUUACGGUGAUGAAAAACAAUAUUUAAUCCCUCGUUAACACAUGAAUAAGAGGAAACUGUCAUUUCCCACCAAACAAUAACGGGAUUAUCUCAAGAACUGUCAGUUUAUGUGAAAACAUUAUGUUGCCCAAAUUUUCAUAAAAAUUAGCAGUGGGUAAUAUUCAAGAUCAGAGCAAUGGAAAGAGGGAAAUCUGCAUUCAUGGUAAUAAAUAUUCAUAUUUGUCUGCUCAGGAGAUGAAAAUCUAAUCAAGGGGCUAUUGAUGCGCUGGCUUUUUUUCUUUUUUUUUUUUUUAACCAAGAUGUUUCAUCUAAAUUGGGUUUGAUAUGGAAAUUAGUCUUACUCCAAGUCCUCCAGGCCAUGAGCAUGCUGGGAUAACACUGGAGGUGUCCAGUACAUCAGAUGUUGCUGCAAGCAUCUGAUUCUACAGACAACAAACACAAUAAAAUAAAAUAAAAAGUUGACAACAUCUCAAGGGUCAAGCUUCCAGUGGCUUAGGGUGUUGUGGGGUUUUUUUUCUCCCCUGAACAUUUUAGUUUUAUCCCAGUUAAAUCCUCAGUACUGCAGGGUUAAAAUUGUCGUCAUUUUUUGCUUUUGUUGACAAUUACCAUAAAUCAGAAGACACUCUGCAUGAAGCUUAAUGAAAUAUGUAUGAUAUAAAAAUGGGAAGAAGAUAAGAGCAGUAUGCUGCUUUAGGAUUUUGUGUGUGUAUCUAUGCAUCUGUGCGUGCAAAUGCACAACCUGAAGAGCUAAGUUGUAUUUUGUGUGCUGUGCACUGAAUGGAAGAGUCAGGCAGCUGCUGACUGGAAAACAUACAAAAAACAUAUCAUAUGAAUAAAAUGUAUCAUAGUUUAUCCAAAAGUGAGUGUAGUAUGUUUUCCGUGUCAGUCAAUAAGUUCAAUUAAUAUACUUGCCUGUUAAAAUAUUCAGUUAAAAAUAUUUCUUGACGCCUUUUUUUGUUUUUGCUGGUGUGAAAAUCUGGUUCAUCCUAAAAGUGUUUGCCUUGACAUACUUUAGUAGUAGUAGUAGUAGUAGUAGUAGUAGUAGUAGUAGUAGUAGUAGUAGUAGCUGUUGUUGUUGUUAUUGUUGUUGUUCUUGUUGUUGAUGAUGAUGAUAUCUUGUCCAUUAUUUUACUUCUUGGGGUGUUACGACCUUUUUAAAAAAAUUAGACACAUAACUAAGGUCCUGAUCCUACAAAUAACACAUGUAUAUAGAAAUACAUACAUACACACACACACACACACAUACAUAUGUGUGUGUGUAUAAAUAAAGACAUCCUUUUGUGGAAGAGUAUUGUGUUUUCUGAGAUCUACCUAACAGACUCGUGGGUGCAACUGGACACUGGAUGAUUUCAUCCAGCUACUGAUUGUGCACACACGAGCAGUGUGUGAAUCAGUCCCUUUAAAACUCAAAAUGCCAUCAAUGAGUUUAUUAAAUUCCUGGAAAAAAUGUCGUACAAAAAGCAUCUUUUUAGAUUUGGAAUUGGGCAAAAGUCCUAUCAGCAACAUUCAGCUAUAUUGCCUGUAGCAGGAGAGAGCAGAAAGGUAGGUAGAGCCUGCUCUAAGAGAAAGGAUGUUCCUACUGACCAAGAAAAGGGAAGAGUUAGACUACAAAUAUUGCCUGUUGAGAAGGUUGCAUCCUUUUAUUAUCAAAUAUAUACCAAAUAAGAAUAUGGAAAUAUGGCUUGUACUGUUUCAAAAUUCCAGUAAUUUGUGCAAUAAAUCAUUGCAAAGCAAGUAUAAGCAGCCUGCAGAGUGUGUUGUGCAUGUAUUGGCAGACCUGAUAUCUUUUACUGUACAAUCUGUGCUGGCAUCUUUGUCCAAAAUGUUUUUCAGAGACUUUAUCUUCCUAAUCAACUCCUUUGCCAAGCUCAACAAAAAAAAGAAAAGAAAUCCAUGUAGCAUAUAUAGCAGAUGGGUGUUCAGUAGCAUACAGGUGUUCAGCGUGCAGCUGCCAGAUAAUGUAAGGUUCAGUUUCUUUACUUUGCUGAUACCAAGAAGACAAAAUUGCUAAAAGUCUGUCAGAUAACUAAGAUCACAUGAGGAAGCCAUAUUAUAAGAAAAAAGUUAAUUAUUAAUGUGUGAAAUUUUAAAUUGUCAUUUUAAGAUUUUAAUCUUUUGGCUUCAUCAAUAGAAGCUUGGAGUAGAUCCAGGUGUUAUCUGUGACCUUGUUGGUCAAUAACACCCACAGUGGCUAAUACCGUGUUGUUAUUGUUGUUUUGUGUCCAUUAGACAACGAAAUGUUCCUCCAUCUAUUGACAUGGUGAACUUUGGAAACACUAAUGGGGAGAUACAGAAUAUUUCAGGAAUGGGUAAUGUUGACAGGGCAAGAUGCACCUGUUUGUCUCUCUGGCUCACCAAUACCACAAUGGUUAUCAAGCAUAUUUUGUUAAGUGCAACAAGAGAAAGCAGAGCAAUAGUGGCUGUGUGGGCUGUCUUUCCUCGGUUUUAUCUUUUUCAUUUUGAGCCUGAGUUUUGUGCCAGACUAAUAGCCGAUGGCAAUGGGCUGGGGAAGUGCAACUUUCACUAAGAUUAGGGAAUGUGCAGAAAACAAUGUGUGAAAUCCUGAUUUGACAAGGGUGAACAGACUGGUGAGGGCACCAAGACAUUUUGUGAAGUGAAACCAUAUUUGUACCCAACGUGUCUAGAAAAAACCUGUAACAACCAAGGUGCCAAAAGAUCCCACCCAGGAGACAAUAAGAAUGACAUCCUCAUUAUACCAGUCAGGGAAUAAAGGAGGUGCAGAAUUCAUUCUACCCUUUCCAAUUACUGGCAGCUUAUAUUAAUUGAUGGUAGUGGAACAAUGUGUGUGUUGUUGUGCUCUGGGGUGAUUAUCCUUGUGAGACUGUAAGUUCAACAGUUGUCAUGCAAUUUGGAGUUGCAGGCUGGCAAUUUUUGUAAUUGAAUCUCAGGAAAUAAACAAAAUAUGGCAACUUGAUA